rnacentral:rRNA from 1 species
UACGUAGGGUCCGAGCGUUGUCCGGAAUCAUUGGGCGUAAAGAGCGUGUAGGCGGCUAUUUAAGUCCUGCGUGAAAUCCUGCGGCUCAACCGCAGACGGUCGUGGGAAACUGGAUGGCUAGAGUGCGGGAGAGGAGAGUGGAAUUCCCGGUGUAGCGGUGAAAUGCGCAGAUAUCGGGAAGAACACCCGUGGCGAAGGCGGCUCUCUGGAACGCAACUGACGCUGAGACGCGAAAGCGUGGGGAGCAAACAGG